CAGGCCUAACACAUGCAAGUCGAACGCACCUUCGGGUGAGUGGCAGACGGGUGAGUAACACGUGGGAACGUGCCCUUCGGUUCGGAAUAACUCAGGGAAACUUGAGCUAAUACCGGAUACGCCCUUUGGGGGAAAGGUUUACUGCCGAAGGAUCGGCCCGCGUCUGAUUAGCUAGUUGGUGGGGUAAUGGCCUACCAAGGCGACGAUCAGUAGCUGGUCUGAGAGGAUGAUCAGCCACACUGGGACUGAGACACGGCCCAGACUCCUACGGGAGGCAGCAGUGGGGAAUAUUGGACAAUGGGCGAAAGCCUGAUCCAGCCAUGCCGCGUGAGUGAUGAAGGCCUUAGGGUUGUAAAGCUCUUUUGUCCGGGAAGAUAAUGACUGUACCGGGAGAAUAAGCCCCGGCUAACUUCGUGCCAGCAGCCGCGGUAAU
rnacentral:rRNA from 1 species